rnacentral:rRNA from 1 species
CCCGCUGAACUUAAGCAUAUCAAUAAGCGGAGGAAAAGAAACCAACAGGGAUUGCCUCAGUAACGGCGAGUGAAGCGGCAACAGCUCAAAUUUGAAAUCUGGCUCCCGCCCGAGUUGUAAUUUGCAGAGGAUGCUUCGGUGCAGUCCCCGGCCCAAGUCCCUUGGAACAGGGCGCCGCAGAGGGUGAGAGCCCCCCACGCGGCCGGGUGCCUGCUCCGGUGAAGCUCCUUCGACGAGUCGAGUUGUUUGGGAAUGCAGCUCUAACUGGGAGGUAAAUUUCUCCUAAGGCUAAAUACCGGCCAGAGACCGAUAGCGCACAAGUAGAGUGAUCGAAAGAUGAAAAGCACUUUGAAAAGAGAGUUAAAAAGUACGUGAAAUUGUUGAAAGGGAAGCGUUUGCGGCCAGACUUGGCGGCGGUUGCUCAGCCGGUCAUUGCCCGGUGCACUCUUCCGCCGACAGGCCAGCGUCGGUUCGGGCGGUCGGAUAAAGGCGUCGGGAACGUGGCUCUUCGGAGUGUUAUAGCCCUUCGCACAAUGCGGCCCGCCCGGACCGAGGUACGCGUCUUCACGGACGCUGGCGUAAUGGCCGCCAACGGCCCGUCUUGAAACACGG